rnacentral:rRNA from 1 species
UACGUAGGGUGCGAGCGUUGUCCGGAAUUACUGGGCGUAAAGAGCUCGUAGGUGGUUUGUCGCGUUGUUCGUGAAAACUCACAGCUCAACUGUGGGCGUGCGGGCGAUACGGGCAGACUGGAGUACUGCAGGGGAGACUGGAAUUCCUGGUGUAGCGGUGGAAUGCGCAGAUAUCAGGAGGAACACCGGUGGCGAAGGCGGGUCUCUGGACAGUUCCUGACGCUGAGGCACGGAAAGGCCG